CUCUCAUCUCCCUGCCAAGACCUCAAAUAAAAUCGUUUCCUCCUGAAAAUGCCCAUCUCGGAACCUUGGCUGUGCCCCGAGGGAGGCACCGGAAUGGCAAAAGUGAGGACAUACGGCUGCCAGCAUCGUCUAUGCUCUAGAUAGGGGUCAAAUGUCAACUUUCUGCCAGGUCCAGCCCGGAUGUGAGGGCUGUGAAGGCAACAACCAAGGAACCAUUCCUUCGGAUGGAAGUCCUAUGGCAGAGAGAAGCUGAUGUUUGAAUUUUCCUGUAGAGCCCUUGAGGUUCCAUGAAUCAGUCUGGGAAGGAUGCAGGUUAAGUGGGAAGCAGAAGCCCUCAAUCACGUGAUGACGGAAAAGCCGAAAAGGCUGGGUUAUACCCUUAGGAAACCUAUUUGUUUCUUGGCUCCCUGCAGGGGCAUGCACACUAGCAAAGGCUCAAUCCCUUCAUUAUUCAUUUGAUCACAAAAGAAGGAAUGAGAGGAAAAAUACUUUUAUUUUUCACCAAGCAAUCACCAAGCGCAGUCUCAACGAAGAGCCCCUCCUUCUUUCAUGUCUUCUUUUGUGUGUGACUUACUCAGUCUAAGUUUCAUCCACAGGUAAAGGAACCCAAGCUGGGCCCAAUGCCAAGUGCACUUCUUCAAUGUUACAUUCUGGGACAGGAGAGAGGAUCACUGGUUGAGCCUACCUACUCUGUGGACACAUUGUAAUCCUGAAACUGUUCUGAGCUUCCAUUCAUGGCCAGGACACCUGAUCACUUCAUCGUUGGGUUCUGUGUUUGAAAACUGGGCCAGCUCUGAACCUGGGUGACAGAACACACUGUGGAGAAACCUUGUCUCUAGGAUCUUGCUCAUACACUCUUGGCUCCUCUUGCUCUGGUGGAGCUCCUCAGUGCCCACUGGGAAAGUGAUCUGGCUCCCAAGACCACCAGCCUGUUCAAGUCAUGGAUGGCACCAGUUUUCACAGGCUGAGUGAUUAGAAAACAGACUCUGGGACAGCUGUGUACAUAAGAGUCAUCUGGGCAUUGCUCUUACAAUCCCUGUAGAAGACAAGAGCUCAGAUUGACCCACCCGAAGUCCCUGGGAUUCACUUCUUCACCCUUCACACCUCGGCUUGCAGAAACAAGAUGCCACGUUUGACUUUAUGUGGUUGCUGGGAACAUGAAUUUGGGUCCUAGGGUUUACAAGUCAAGCACUUUACCCAUUGACCAUCUCCCUAGCCGUGUGACUGGCUUCUUUACCUUCAUGAUAACUACUCAUCAGCUAUAUUUUAAUCUGGCAAGGGGACUUGAAUUUGAAUGAGAUGACUCUAGUUAAAUAGUUUUGAUGAGGAGUGACAACUGAAGGCUCUUCGGGGCUAAAGGGAUACUUAGGUGUUGUGUUCCAUCCCCACCCCUGUUGACUAUAUAGGGCGAUACAAUGACUAACACAGGCUGGACACUUUAGAAGACAAACUUCAGACAAUUCCCCACCAAAAGGAUGUAUACCCUGGUUAUGGGUUUUUGGUUUGGGAGACUAUGUAUGCUAAGAUGAAUGUAGCUUGAUGAGUUGGGAAGACACUACAUAUGAGAUGAGCCAUGGUAAAGACUGCAUAAAGACAGGGGCAGACUUGGAUCUUUCCUUUCUCGGUUGCUAAAUGACUGAAAAAGCCUUUUAACCCCAUAGACCUUCUGCUCAUCUAAACAGAGUGGAGGUUGGCACUAUCUAAGACAUAUAAAGAACCGUCAAAACUCAGUGAUUAAAAUAUUAGACUAGGAAACUUAGAAAAGACAGAUCUGCCACUAAAGAGGCUAUAAAGAUGACAAAGUAGUAUAUGAAAAGAGGAUCAACAGCAUAAGCCAUCAUAGAAACACUCAGUAAACAUACAGUAUGAUACACUAAGGAGUUGAGGGGUCACUCAGUGGUUAGGGGCACAGAGGACUCUGCCAGAGGACUUGAGUUCACUUCCCAUCUCAUGUGGUUCGCAAUUGCCUAUAACUCCAGCUCCAAGGGUGAGGAUGGUCUUCCACACACACAUGCACACACACACACACACACACACACACACACACACACACACACACAUACACACAUACAUGCACAAAUGCGCAUGCUCACACACAAACACAUACUCACAUAUAUAAAUAAAAUAGAGAUCCUACCCUACUAUCAGAAUGGUUCAAAAAAUUUAAGGACAUCAACAAACACUGGCAAGGAUGUCAGACUCAUACGCAGCUACUGAGAAUGUAAAAUGGGACAAUCAGUCUAAAAACUGCAUUGAUGUCUCUAGGAAAUCAAACAUAUGCCUGCCAUAUGACCCAGAAAACAUUUUCCUAAGGCAUUUAUCCAAGAGAAGUGAAAGUGCACAAAAUCUACAUAUGCAUUUUCAUAUAUGUUGAUUUUCAAUAACUAGAAAUAACCCAAGCAUCUCACAACAAGCGAGCAAUUAGACAAACUACCAAGUCCACAUUCAGAAAUACUACUCACCAAUAGCAAUGAGAACAGUGUCGGUCUACACAACAACUCAGGUGGAUAUCAAGAGAAUCAUGCUGGGGAGGGAAAUUUCAGACUUCCGUAUGGUGUUUGAUAAAAUUUAUGCAACAUUCUUAAAAUUAAUCAAAGUAUAAAUCUGGAGACAUAUUAUUGCUGGUCACAGGUCGGGAGAAGGGACAGGUGGCAGUUGGUUCUAAAAGGUAUCACAAGAGGCCACUGAUGGGACGAGUCUAAGUUUGACUAUGGUGGUUUUCUUUUUCUCGGUUUUCUUUUUCUAUGAUAAACACCAUUACCAAACGCAAUUUGGAGAGGAAAGGGUUUGUUUCAUCUGACAGGAGACAGAUUGAAAGCAGGACCUUAAAGCAGAAACCACAGAGGGAUGCCCUUUAGUGGUUUGCUCCGUGUUCAGCUAGCUUUCUUAGACAACCUAAGCGACCUGCCUAGGGAAGAUGCUCCCCGUAGUAAACUGGACAGAGAAGGUACCACACACAUCCCCAUAGGCAACCUGAUGGAGGCCAUCCCUUAACCGGCAGGUUCUUUCUUCCCAAGUGUAUCUCAUAGAGAGGCACACGAGUCUCUCCACAUAACAAAGUUACAGACAGAGUGGCACCGGCCUAAAAUCUCAACUACGCAGGUGACAGAGGCAGAAGGAUUGCAAGUUUCAGGUAUGCCUGUGUUACAGAUUGGGAUCAACGCUACCUUGGGCAACUUAAGUCAGAUGGAACCAGAAGGCUGGGGAUACAUCUCAGCGGUAGAGCACUGGCUUAGCCUGUGUAGGUCAGUUUCUAGUAUGGCAAGCAAUCAAUGAAUAGCUGAAAAUAUGCAUGUCUAAGCACAGGGCAAAACUAUGAAACCUGGAUAUGACUAGUAUAGUCUGUCAAUUUUCUGGUUGUGAAGUGGUGUUGUGGUUAUGCAAUCUGUUGCCAACUAAUAAAAACUGGUAUGCAUAUGAAAAAAAAAAAAAAAAAA
rnacentral:lncRNA from 1 species